UACGUAGGGACCGAGCGUUGUCCGGAUUCAUUGGGCGUAAAGAGCUCGUAGGCGGCUGUUCAAGUCGAACGUGAAAACUCGGAGCUCAACUCCGAGCCUGCGUUCGAUACUGGACGGCUAGAGUCUGGUAGGGGGAUCUGGAAUCCUGGUGUAGCGGUGGAAUGCGCAGAUAUCAGGAGGAACACCGGUGGCGAAGGCGG
rnacentral:rRNA from 1 species